UACGUAGGGUGCAAGCGUUGUCCGGAAUUAUUGGGCGUAAAGAGCUCGUAGGCGGUCUGUCGCGUCGGCUGUGAAAACUCGAGGCUCAACCUCGAGACGUCGGUUGAAACCGUUUGGCUAGAGUCCGGAAGAGGAGAGUGGAAUUCCCGGUGUAGCGGUGAAAUGCGCAGAUAUCGGGAAGAACACCCGUGGCGAAGGCGGCUCUCUGGGACGGUACUGACGCUGAGACGCGAAAGCGUGGGGAGCGAACAGG
rnacentral:rRNA from 1 species